AUUGAACGCUGGCGGCAUGCCUUACACAUGCAAGUCGAACGGCAGCAUAGGAGCUUGCUCCUGAUGGCGAGUGGCGAACGGGUGAGUAAUAUAUCGGAACGUGCCCUAGAGUGGGGGAUAACUAGUCGAAAGAAUAGCUAAUACCGCAUACGAUCUACGGAUGAAAGGGGGGGAUCGCAAGACCUCAUGCUCCUGGAGCGGCCGAUAUCUGAUUAGCUAGUUGGUGGGGUAAAAGCUCACCAAGGCGACGAUCAGUAGCGGGUCUGAGAGGACGGACAGCCACACUGGGACUGAGACACGGCCCAGACUCCUACGGGAGGAAGCAGUGGGGAAUUUUGGACAAUGGGGGCAACCCUGAUCCAGCACUGCCGCGUGAGUGAAGAAGGCCUUCGGGUUGUAAAGCUCUUUUGUCAGGGAAGAAACGGUUCUGGAUAAUACCUGGGACUAAUGACGGUACCUGAAGAAUAAGCACCGGCUAACUACGUGCCAGCAGCCGCAGUAACAC
rnacentral:rRNA from 1 species